UACGUAGGGUGCGAGCGUUGUCCGGAAUUACUGGGCGUAAAGAGCUCGUAGGUGGUUUGUCGCGUUGUUCGUGAAAACCGGGGGCUUAACCCUCGGCGUGCGGGCGAUACGGGCAGACUAGAGUACUGCAGGGGAGACUGGAAUUCCUGGUGUAGCGGUGGAAUGCGCAGAUAUCAGGAGGAACACCGGUGGCGAAGGCGGGUCUCUGGGCAGUAGCUGACGCUGAGGAGCGAAAGCGUGGGGAGCGAACAGG
rnacentral:rRNA from 1 species